rnacentral:rRNA from 1 species
AGAUUGAACGCUGGCGGAAUGCUUUACACAUGCAAGUCGAACGGCAGCACGGGGGCAACCCUGGUGGCGAGUGGCGAACGGGUGAGUAAUACAUCGGAACGUGCCCAGUCGUGGGGGAUAACUACGCGAAAGCGUAGCUAAUACCGCAUACGAUCUACGGAUGAAAGCGGGGGAUCGCAAGACCUCGCGCGAUUGGAGCGGCCGAUGGCAGAUUAGGUAGUUGGUGGGGUAAAGGCUCACCAAGCCGUCGAUCUGUAGCUGGUCUGAGAGGACGACCACGCCACA